UGGUUGCUAGGUAGUUACUAGGCAGUUGCUAAUGUAUUCCACAUCGUUGCUUAGUGUUUGCUAAUUGGUUGCUAAGCAGAUUCUUACAUAUUCCAGGUGGUUGCUAAGCUGUUGCUAACUGGUUGCUAGGCAAUUGCUAAUGUAUUCCACAUGGUUGUUAAGUGGUUGCUAGGCAGUUUCUAAUAUUUUCCAGGUGGUUGCUAAGUGGUUGCUAACUGGUUGCUAUGCAGUUGCUAACAUAUUCCACAUGGUUUCCAAGUGGUUGCUAAGGUGUUGAUACGGUAUCCGGGUUGGUUGCUAAGGUGUUGCUAGGUGGUUGCUAAGGUGUUGCUAUGGUAUCCAGGGUGGUUGGUAAGGUGUUGCUAGGUGGUUGCUAGGUGGUUGCUAAGGUGUUGCUAUGGUAUCCGGGGUGUUGCCAAGGUGUUGCUAGGUGGUUGCUAGGGUGUUGCUAGGCGGUUGCUAGGCGGUUGCUAUGGUAUCCGGGGUGGUUGCUAAGGUGUUGCUAGGUGGUUGCUAGGCGGUUGCUAAGGUGUUGCUAUGGUAUCCGAGGUGGUUGCUAAAUGGUUACUAGGCAGUUCCUAACGUAUUCCACAUGGUUGUUAAGUGGUUGCUAGGCACUUGCUAAUGUUUUCCAGGUGGUUGCUAAGGUGUAUCUAACUGGUUGCUAGGCAGUUGCUAAUAUUUCUGAAGUGGUUGCUAAGCAGUUGCUAGGCAGUUGUUAACGUUUUCCAGGUGGUUGCUAAGGUGUUGCUAACUGGUUGCUAGGCAGUUGCUAACGUAUUCCACAUGGUUGCUAAGUGGUUGCUAGGCAGUUGCUAACAUUUUCCAGGUGGUUGCUAAGGUGUUGCUAACUGGUUGCUAGGCAGUUGCUAACAUAUUCCAGACAUAAAAAGAAAGAGAAAGCAAGACAUAGAAAAGUAGAGUGAAAGAGAAGUAGAGAGAAGAGCGAGAAAUAAAGAAAGAGUAAGAGAGAAUAGAGAAAUAGAAAAGUAGCGAGAAAGAGAAAUUGAGACGUAGAGAGAGAGAGUGAGAAAGAGAGAAAGAAAGAGUGAGAAAUAGAGAAGUAGAGAGUAAAAGAGAGAGUGAGAAAUAGAGACGUAGAGAGAGAGUGAGAAAGAGAGUGAGAAAUUCAGAAGUAGAGUGAGAAAGAGAGUGAGAAAUAGAGAAGUAGAGAGCAAAAGAGAGUGAGAAAUAGAGAAGUAGAGAGAGUGAGAAAGAGAGAGUGAGAAAUAAAGAAAUGUAAAGAGCAAAAGAGAGAGUGAGAAAUAGAGAAGUAGAGAGAAAAAGAUAUAGAGACAUAGAGCGUGAGAAAGAGAUAAGUAGAGAGCAAAAGAGAGUGAGAAAUAGAGAAGUAGAGAGCAAAAGAGAGAGUGAGAAAUAGAGACGUAGAGAGAGUGAGAAAUAGAGAAGUAGAGAGAAAAA